rnacentral:rRNA from 1 species
GAGAAGACUAUGUGAUAUAUGUAUUCUACAUAAAUUUUAUACAGAGCUAAAAACUAUUAUUGGCAAUAAGGUACGCCAGGGAUAACAGGUUAAAGAUUAAUUACAGCUCUUAUGUAAUUAAUCUAUUGACACCUCCAUGUCGUCUCACCAUACCUUAAUGUUUU